ensembl:lncRNA
GGAGAACAUUUUUCUAAACAUCAUCUUUUGUGUCCCACAGAAAAAAAAGUCAUACAGGUUAGGAAUGACAGAAAUUAUGUGUUUUUUUUGUUUUUUUUUUUCUCGGGUGGGUUGGGUGGGUAGCUGUGAACUAUCCCUUUUAGAUAUAUUCACUGUGAUAACUGUUCAUAGAAAUUGUGCUUUAAUGCUAGGUGUGUUAAUUCAGGUCACGCUCAAUACAAAUUGAAAAUUAAAAUUAAUGAAAGAUCUUCAGUUUGCUAUUUAUGGCAGAACCAUAUGGCAAAACAGCCCAUGAGAGCCGACACAUUGCCAGAGUCUCGCCCUGAUAGAGCUGCUCUCAGCUGGAUGGCAGGUGAAUGUAAUUUUGAGUGCUCAAGAAAGAUGCUCAGCAUCACUGAUGCCUUCUUAAUGAGAACCAUAGGUUUUGAAAUAUUACAAAAUUCAGAACUGCUUUCUGGCGCAGGCGUGACUCAACGGCUAAUAUUAGUCCCAGACCAGUGGUCUCCUGCUGCGCCCACCUCAACACGUCAUCUUAUUCUGCCUUCACACCUCCUUUGCAGUUUUGAGCACACUGUGAAGCUGCAGCCAGAUCUUCUGCUGCCCUGCUAAAGGCGGCCCUGACAUUCACAGGAGACAGCCCAUCAAACAGCCUGUUGCUAAUUGUCCGCGAAGACCCAGAUCACCGUGUUACGCUCACAUGGAGUUGCUCGCGGACAGGCCUGUAACCCUGAGUGAUAUAGGACUGGUCUUCUUUAACAAACUCUGAUGAGAAAGAUAUGACAAUGAAGGUGAAUGGCGGUCGAGAGGGGGUGGAUGAAGACAUACUCUCAUGAGCUCCAUUGUUCCUAUGCUCUGCAGAAAUAUAUUGAUCAAAGGUGGGAGCAAAUGUGUAUGACUGGCAUGCUGGUGUGUCUCUGCAUCCGUUUUGUGCCAUUUUUGAUGACAUGCCAGUCAUUUCGAGAACCAAGUCCCUGCGUGCCAUCACAGUACCCUACAGAAUCUACUCGACAUAUGUCCCUUUGGGAACUGGGUCCACAACUGUCCACCCAACUUACGCCCGCACCUCAGCAGCUGAGCCACACUUCCCCGGGUCAGUGAGGACAGAGUCGUUGGCACAUACAACACCUCAUCACAUUUGUCGUUCCGUAAGGGAAUGCUUCCGGGAUGUGUGGCAUCCAAAACCGAAAACGAAUGGUGGGACAGAUAUCUCAGAUCCAGUGUUGAUGUCUUGCAUAAGAAAGCUACAUCAUACUGUUGUAACCAUGGGAAUCGAAGAUCAGACAAGAAAAAGAAGCGGACUGAAAGGACCUGCUCAUGUUUACCCUGGCCUGUCUGUCAAUCAAAGAGACAGAUGAAAACGUGUCCCUCUGUUAGCAUAUGUUCACUUUUCAAGACCACUAAAGUCACCUUGCAUCUUUUUACGUUUUUCUUAUUUUAGUUGCCUUGAGGAACGUUUUAUUCCUCCGAAAUUGCUCUUUCGUAGCUCAGGUACAGUAUAAGCUAUAAGUAAGUAUUUCAUGUCCAUCUGAAACCAUUAAAAAUCAUUUUUAUCUUAGAAUAUUUGUUUUAAAAUACCUUAGAAAACAUAAAAUACACUAAAUGAAUAAUUGCUCAAAUAUACUAUUAAGGCGUAUAGUUCAC